GCCCCGGCGCCGCGGGUGCGCUGCGGAUGGGCUUGGGGCGCACCCAGCGAGCAGCGAGAGUCGCGGUGUCCCGGGCGCUCGCUGGCACCGUGGCCGCAGCGGCCGGCCUGGGAGCCAGGAGGGCGAGGCGGCUGCACCUUCGGGGCCAGAUUGGAGUUCGAAGAGUGGCGGGUACCCCAGAAGCUCGGGGCCGGGGCGAUGGCUGCAGCCUCGGGAGGGUAUCGCCGGAUCGAACUCCGGGAAAGGGAAGCAAAGGCAUGGAACCUCCGCACACUGGAUGAGAAUCCAUCUUCCAUUCGAGCUGGGAAUAGACUUUGUGAAAGAUAUUAUGUAAUGGAGUCUCGGGAACCCUGAGACCUCUCCAGCGAAGCUGAAGUGAAUUAAUUAAGUGCUUUAAACGGUCUUGGUGCUGUGUUACGGGAGAGAGUGACUGGAAAGUAACAAAGCUGAAUCUUUCUCCCUGGAGUAAGGCCGAAGACUGGAUUACUACACGCCUAGACGUGACACUACACCCAUAGAUCUCAUGCAUCAUUAAUGCCAUAUGACAUUGCCAUUUUCUUUCUCAGUUCACGGACAAAAGUGGUGGGUUUUCAUUGUCUUCACUGAUUGUCAAUGCAUUAAUA
rnacentral:lncRNA from 1 species